GGCUACCAUGCAAGUCGAACGCGAACGAUUUUCUUCGGAGAAUUUAGUAGAGUGGCGCACGCCCUGUAGUAACGCGUAAGUAAUCUACCCUGGCAUUUGGGAUAACCCAGCGAAAGCUGUGCUAAUACCGAAUACGCUGAUUUAUCAGGAAAGGUGGCCUCUGAUUUAAGCUACCGUGCCGGGAGGAGCUUGCGUACCAUUAGCUAGUUGGUAGGGUAAAGGCCUACCAAGGCGACGAUGGUUAGCGGGUCUGAGAGGAUGAUCCGCCACACUGGAACUGGAACACGGACCAGACUCCUACGGGAGGCAGCAGUGAGGAAUAUUGCGCAAUGGGGGCAACCCUGACGCAGCGACGCCGCGUGGAUGAUGAAGGCUUUCGAGUCGUAAAAUCCUGUCAGAUGGAAAGAAGUGCAUAUUUAUUAAUAGUGAAUAUGUUUGACGGUACCAUCAAAGGAAGCACCGGCUAACUCCGUGCCAGCAGCCGCGGUAAUACGGAGGGUGCAAGCGUUGUUCGGAAUUACUGGGCGUAAAGCGCGCGUAGGCGGUCUGUUAUGUCAGAUGUGAAAGUCCUCGGCUCAACCGGGGAAGUGCAUUUGAAACUGGCAGACUUGAGUACUGGAGGGGGUGGUGGAAUUCCCGGUGUAGAGGUGAAAUUCGUAGAUAUCGGGAGGAAUACCGGUGGCGAAGGCGACCACCUGGCCAGAUACUGACGCUGAGGUGCGAAAGCGUGGGGAGCAAACAGGAUUAGAUACCCUGGUAGUCCACGCCGUAAACGAUGUCAACUAGGUGUUGGGGCGGUUAAUCGUCUCAUUGCCGGAGCUAACGCAUUAAGUUGACCGCCCUGGGGAAGUACGGUCGCAAAGAUUAAAACUCAAAGGGAAUUGACGGGGGGCCCGCACAAGCGGGGGGAA
rnacentral:rRNA from 1 species